AUUUGUUGACUCAGAAUAACUAAGCUGAUCGCAUGGUCUUGCACCGGCGACGUGUCUUUCAAGUAUCUGCCUUAUCAACUUUCGAUGGUAGUGUAUCUGACUACCAUGGUUGUGACGGGUAACGGAGGAUAAGGGUUCGACUCCGGAGAAGGGGCCUGAGAAAUGGCCACUACGUCUAAGGAUGGCAGCAGGCGCGCAAAUUACCCACUCUCAGAACACUGAGGAGGUAGUGACGAGAAAUAACGAGGCCGUUCUCUAUGAGGCCGGUCAUCGGAAUGGGUACAAUCUAAACCCUUUAACGAGUAUCUAUGAGAGGGCAAGUCUGGUGCCAGCAGCCGCGGUAAUUCCAGCUCUCAAAAUGCAUAGAAUUAUUGCUGCGGUUAAAAAGCUCGUAGUUGGAUCUGUGCGACGGGAGUCGGUCCAGCCUCACGGCUGCGCACUGGCCACCCGCGCUUUCCGGUCGGUUUUCGCGUCGUGGCUUUCACCGGCUGCGGCGCGUGGCUGACGAGUUUACUUUGAACAAAUCAGAGUGCUUAACACAGGCGUUUCGCUUGAAUGUUCUUGCAUGGAAUAAUAGAAGAGGAUCGCGGUCCGAUUUUAUUGGUUUUAUGGACUGAGAUAAUGGUUAACAGAGACAAACGGGGGCAUUCGUACCGCUGCGUGAGAGGUGAAAUUCUUGGACCGCAGCGAGACGAACUACAGCGAAAGCAUUUGCCAAGAAUGUCUUCAUUAAUCAAGAACGAAAGUCAGAGGUUCGAAGGCGAUCAGAUACCGCCCUAGUUCUGACCGUAAACGAUGCCAACUCGCGAUCCGCCGGCGGAUUCAUUCGCCCUGGUGGGGAGCGUCCCGGAAACGAAAGUCUUCCGGUUCCGGGGGAAGUAUGGUUGCAAAGCUGAAACUUAAAGGAAUUGACGGAAGGGCACCACCAGGAGUGGAGCCUGCGGCUUAAUUUGACUCAACACGGGAAAACUCACCCGGCCCGGACACCGUAAGGAUUGACAGAUUGAUAGCUUUUUCAUGAUUCGGUGGAUGGUGGUGCAUGGCCGUUCUUAGUUCGUGGAGCGAUUUGUCUGGUUUAUUCCGAUAACGAGCGAGACUCUAGCCUACUAACUAGUCCACACAUUCGC
rnacentral:rRNA from 1 species